rnacentral:rRNA from 1 species
GACGGAGGAUGCAAGUGUUAUCCGGAAUCACUGGGCGUAAAGCGUCUGUAGGUGGUUUAAUAAGUCAACUGUUAAAUCUUGAGGCUCAACCUCAAAAUCGCAGUCGAAACUAUUAGGCUAGAGUAUAGUAGGGGUAAAGGGAAUUUCCAGUGGAGCGGUGAAAUGCGUAGAGAUUGGAAAGAACACCGAUGGCGAAAGCGCUCUGCUGGACCUUAACUGACACUGAGGGACGAAAGCUAGGGGAGCGAAUGGG